CAUCAACGUCAGCGGCGCCUCCAUCACCGCGAGAGCUCUCACCUUCAGACGACACUCGCUCAGCAGCCCGUCAACAAACUCUCGGCUUUGACGCACUCAGGAACAUUCAGCAUUCAGGAACAUCCACCUCACCUGCCCACAACAUGACGCACAGGACCCCGAGAGAGGAAACUGCGCCGGAGGCAGAGCGAGGAAGGAGCCCCAUUUCAAGUUAAACAGAGUCCGACUGGGAGGUGGGGGACCGAAGCUAAUGGAUCACAGUGACGGGAGGGAUUAUGCAAAAAGUACCGGACCAAUUUGCAACAAACUUGCUGGAAGGAUGGGGAAUGGGCCAGGGAAGAACCCAUCAAAUUUUGGUGCGGAUCGGGUUAAAGGCGCAACUCCAGGAAUUUUUUUUAUCACUUUCCUUAUCAUUGCGAGAUAUUAUUCACCAUUUCGUCAAUAUUUGGCCUUGGUGGAGGUGUGUGCUCUACUGAGUGCCAUUCUAGUUGUUUCUGCUCUAAUCUUCAGUACUUAAAAGUCCUUAUCACUGUCACUAUAACAUCAGUAUUGUCAAUGU